CACGUAGGGCGCGAGCGUUGUCCGGAAUUAUUGGGCGUAAAGGGCUCGUAGGCGGUUUGUCGCGUCGGGAGUGAAAACUCAGGGCUUAACCCUGAGCCUGCUUCCGAUACGGGCAGACUAGAGGUAUGCAGGGGAGAACGGAAUUCCUGGUGUAGCGGUGAAAUGCGCAGAUAUCAGGAGGAACACCGGUGGCGAAGGCGGUUCUCUGGGCAUUACCUGACGCUGAGGAGCGAAAGUGUGGGGAGCGAACAGG
rnacentral:rRNA from 1 species